rnacentral:lncRNA from 1 species
GAGUCAGGGAGAUUUUCAGUUGAGAUUGGAGAUCUUUUCUCUUUGUAUUAAAGCUGUAACAAGUCAAGUAAAUGAACAACACAAAAUUUGCAGUAGCUUGUGUCGCUUUAAUCUUCAUACAGUAUUAAAGUUUAGAAUUAUAUAGGGUCGAUUGUUCGCUCCAUAACGGUACUUACAAAUAUGUUUGAGGUCUAUUUAGCUUAUAUUCAUCAGGUGCGUUCAAAUCGCUUUCGUUGAGACAACUGCUUACAAGGAAGUCAAGUUAAUGUUUUGUGAGGCAUAAGUUUCGAUUCCAAUGUAUUUUUCUAUUUCUACCUUUAAAAUAG